CAGUGGGGAAUAUUGCACAAUGGGCGCAAGCCUGAUGCAGCCAUGCCGCGUGUAUGAAGAAGGCCUUCGGGUUGUAAAGUACUUUCAGCAGUGAGGAAGGUGGGUAUGGUUAAUAGCAUACUCAUUUGACGUUAGCUGCAGAAGAAGCACCGGCUAACUCCGUGCCAGCAGCCGCGGUAAUACGGAGGGUGCGAGCGUUAAUCGGAAUUACUGGGCGUAAAGCGCAUGCAGGUGGUUUGUUAAGUCAGAUGUGAAAGCCCAGGGCUCAACCUCGGAAUUGCAUUUGAAACUGGCAAACUAGAGUACUGUAGAGGGGGUAGAAUUUCAGGUGUAGCGGUGAAAUGCGUAGAGAUCUGAAGGAAUACCGGUGGCGAAGGCGGCCCCCUGGACAGAUACUGACACUCAGAUGCGAAAGCGUGGGGAGCAAACAGGAUUAGAUACCCUGGUAG
rnacentral:rRNA from 1 species